rnacentral:misc_RNA from 1 species
UGUAAUCCCCUUGGCGGUU